ensembl:lncRNA RNPC3-DT RNPC3 divergent transcript
ACGGCGGCGAGCGCUAUCUGGAGCUGACCGUGCGGCUCUUAAUCCCUGGCCUUGGGAAAGUGAAUUGGCCUGAAUAGCAAGGAGGAGAACUUGGGUGUGGAAAUACCGGAUUGGCACGAGGGAUACCAACACCGGAAUAUGUGAUGAGAUGUGUGAAGAGCAUGGCAAUGGAUGCAAACUCCCUUUGUGUUUCUGGCUUUAAGCAGCUCUAUACUCUCAUGCUGUCCUACACUCAGCAGCAAUUUGUCACAAGUUUGGGAAAUUCUUCCUACUCUUUUGAACUCCAGCCCAAUUUCCUUUCUAUCACUGCCCUAGGUCUUACUCUUCCAGAAGAAAAAGGGAAAACCCAACCUGAAUGUCCCCUAAAAGUGAAGAAAUGUCCACACUUCUAUGUGCAGAUUGUAGACCUUUGGAAUCUACAUUCAACAUUUGAUACUGCGUGUGACUCCUGAUGAACACGCUGAAGAUACAUGAUGUCCAGUAAUUUUUACUGGGGAUAAUACCUGCAAUAUACAUAAGAUGGUGUCAUUAAAGUACAUUUAAAAUUACACAAGACAUUUUAAAAUUACAUAAGUGUAUAUAAGGAGUUUAACACAAAUUUCAAUUACCUUGGCUUAAGAUGAUUUAGCUGUUUCGUAAGUUAACAAAGACCUACCAUUUACUUCCUACUUAGUCUAUGGCUGAAUUUGGCAUUUUUGAAAAUCUUUUGAUAGCCUCUGAGAACUUACUAUUAUUUGUACUCAUUUACUUCCUAAUGAAAGCUAUUAACAAGAUUUAUUUUAGGAAGUUUAUCUCAGACAGGUUUAUGUCCUUAUGGAGCUUUCAAUCUUAAUUUCAAAGACGAAAAGGAAAGUUGUGUGUGAAACAGCACAGAGUACUUUACAGCUUGUUGCAAGAGCUACAGGGAGCAGCAUGGACAGUGGAAACUCACAUAAAGUUCUUCAAAAUUUACUUUUUCUUUUGCUCCCUGAAAAUUGUAAUCAGUUCCUCUUUUCCUACUUAACAUGAAAAAUAAGUCCAAUGGAAUAGUCUGUUGAUUAAUAAAGUUCUAUCAUUUCUUCUUCAUGAAAUGACUAAUUUAACAAAUUAAAUCCUUCAUUUAUUAAGGUUUGUUUAUUACUUAUUUUUCCUCUAUUCCUUUCUCUGAGCUACAAAUCACAGAGAUUUAUAUUUACUUAAAAUUUUCUUAGCACUACCAAUUUGCCUAUUUAAUGAUCAUUUAUGGCCCAUCUGUUGUAUUACUUGGGAUAUUUUAAAUUGAAUUGAUAGAACUUUAUAUUCAAUUAAGUAGAAAUACCAAUUCCAGAGAAGGACUCACUAUCUUUAUUUAGACUAUGAUUUGGCUUUGUGUCCUCACCCAAAUCUCAUCUCAAAUUGUAAUCUCCACCUGUCAGGGGAGGGAUCAGGUUGGAGAUGAUUGGAUCAUGAGGGUGGUUUCCCCCACGCUGUUCUCAGGAUAUUGAGUAACUCAGGAUAGCUGAUGGUUUUAAAGUGUGGCACUUCCUCAUGCUUGCACUUCUCUCUCCUGCCACCAUGUGAAGAAGGGCCUUACUUUCCCUUUGCCUUCCACCAUGAUUGUAAGUUUUUUGAAGCCUCCCCAGCCAUGUGGAACUAUGAGUCAAUUAAACCUCUUUCUUUUAUAAAUUACUCAGUCUUGGGUAUUUAUUUAUUUAUAACAGUGUGAAAAUGGACUAAUAUAGACCAUGUGCAUAAUGCUUAACAAAUUAUUGCCAGAAGAAUUUGGCAUGUACCAUGAUGAGUCUAGACUGGGCUGUUUGCCCAGAGAAGAGGUGCUGGAGGGAGAAGUUGAAGAUAUGUGUAUAUAAGACAAAGGAGAAAACUAACCAAGUCUGAGAUGUAGUUUCCUUAAGAAUAAAACUUUAUAUUUUAUUAAUUUUUUUUUACUGUUCUUGGAAGAUAAUCUGGUUCAAAACUGAUGCUCAAUAAAUCAUUGUUGAAUAAACGAAUGAAUGGGCAAUACUGCUUCCUAACAUAGUACAUUACUCUUCUGAGUAACUCUGCUAGUUUCUAGCACUGCAAUGAUUGUCUAUCCUUAGGUCAACAGUAUAAUAAAACAUUAUUAAAUAUUGUGACUCAGAUUUGCAUAAUACUAAUUACUAUAAAAUGAAUGAAUCCAUAAUUCUUCAGUGUAUGGUGGUUUUUCUAACUGCAUUGGAAAUCCUUUGAGAACAAAGAUAAUAGCGUCUACUUUUUUUGGUGUUCCAAUAUAGCAAGUAAAUGCUCGCCUUGUUAAAUUGUGUUUGAAUGAAGAGAGGCUGAAAAAUGAGAGUUACUAACCAAAUAGAGGAUUAAUUUGGUAGAAUCAGCUGUAGUCUUGGUACAGCUAUAUUUUUUGUAGAAUCUGAUAUAUUUAGUCCUGAUAGUUAAAUUAGCUACUUAAUUAUAUUUGUUUACUUUGUGAGUUAUGUCUUCUGUAAAGUCUGAAGGCAAGAGAGUGAAUUAUUUUAACAUACUUCCAAAAAUUACAUAACACUUAAAACUUCUAUUUCAUAGGUGAUUCAUUUAUUUGUGAUUAAAUAUUUAGAAGAUUGCAGCAUGUAAUUUAAAGAUAAGGAAUUCAAACUUUUUAAUCCACAUUUGUGUUCUUUGAGAAUGAACAACUGUAGACUGUGAGCAUGAGUUCCUU